UGCUGAAGCGGAAGCCCAACUUCACGCUGCAGGAGAUCGAGAUCCUGAUGAGCGAAGUGCUCCGCUACGAACCGCUGCUCUUCGGCGCCGCCGCCAGCACCGUGAACGCCUACGAGAAGCAGAAGAUCUGGUGGCGCAUCACCAAUAAGAUCAACGCCGCCGGCCGCAACCAGCGCGACAUCGGCGAGGUGAAGAACCGCUGGAGGGGGCUGCGCCGCCGCGCCAACGAUAAAAUCACCCGGCACCGGCAGGAGCGGCAGGGACCGGCACCGCGAACCAACGCGGCCCGGCACCACGGGGCCGCCGGAACCGGCACCGCCAGCGCUGAGCCCGGCCCCGGACCCGCGCCUCUAUGGGGACCGCGCGGCGGCGAAGCGGCGCCGCUGCUCGGAGGGGAGCGGGCGGCACCGUGCGGUGUGAAGGAGGAGGCGGUGAAGGAGGAACCGAUGGAGGUGAAGACGGAGCCCUUCCACGACCCCACGGAUGGCAGCGCCGUCCCGGCGCGGCGGCAGCCCCGCAGCAGCACCCAGACACCCGGCGAGGGCUGGAGCCCCCCGCAGCCCCCCCAGCCCGACCUGGGGAUACAACCAGAACCUCCGGGCUGCGACUUUCCCAGCAGCGUCAUCUUCGAGCCGGACACCGAACAGCUCAGUGACUGCAGCGAAACGGGGGGGGGAACCCCCGGAGCGACGGACGGGACCCCGGAAAGCAGCGCCCGGCUCAGCCCGGCCGAGCUGCGCCUCAUCCGCUGCAACGAGCGCCUGGUGCAGGAGAUGCGAGCCUUCCGCAGGGAGUGCGCCGAGAGCCGCCGGGAGAUGGCAGCGGUGCUGCGCAGCAUCGCUCAGGCGCUGGGCGGCCUCAGUGCCAGCCUGGCCCAGAUCCGCGAGCGCUACCUCGGGGGGCACGCGGCCCCCCAACCCUGAGCCGCCCCCCACCCGCGCCUCCCGUCCCCUUUUUAUUAUUUGAACUCCCACUUCAAUAAAACUCAGCGCUGGCCCCUCGGUUUCCCCCUC
rnacentral:lncRNA from 1 species